CCCACGGCAGACGGCUGCGUAACACGUUGGAAUCUGCCCCGGACUCAGGGAUAACCCCGCGAAAGCGGGGCUAAUACCGGAUGGUCCCGCGAGGGUAAAGCUUUUGCGGUCCGGGAGGAGCCUGCGGCCUAUCAGAUAGUUGGUGGGGUAACGGCCUACCAAGUCGAUGACGGGUAGCUGGUCUGAGAGGACGACCAGCCAGAAUGGAACUGCGACACGGUCCAUACUCC
rnacentral:rRNA from 1 species